rnacentral:rRNA from 1 species
UACAGGCAUUGCCCUAGUACGGCGAGUGAAGCGGCAACAGCUCAAAUUUGAAAUCUGGCCUCCUUUGGGGGUCCGAGUUGUAAUUUGCAGAGGGUGCUUUGGCAUUGGCGGCGGUCUAAGUUCCUUGGAACAGGACAUCGCAGAGGGUGAGAAUCCCGUACGUGGGCGCCUGCCUUUGCCGUGUAAAGCCCCUUCGACGAGUCGAGUUGUUUGGGAAUGCAGCUCUAAAUGGGAGGUAAAUUUCUUCUAAAGCUAAAUACCGGCCAGAGACCGAUAGCGCACAAGUAGAGUGAUCGAAAGAUGAAAAGUACUUUGGAAAGAGAGUCAAAUAGCACGUGAAAUUGUUGAAAGGGAAGCGCUUGCAGCCAGACUUGCCCGCAGUUGCUCACCUAGGUUUUUGCCUGGGGCACUCUUCUGCGGGCAGGCCAGCAUCAGUUUGGGCGGUUGGAUAAAGGCCUCUGUCACGUAUCUCCCUUCGGGGUGACCUUAUAGGGGAGGCGCAAUGCAACCAGCCCGGACUGAGGUCCGCGCAUCUGCUAGGAUGCUGGCGUAAUGGCUGUAAGCGGCCCGUCUUGAAACACGGACCAAGGAGUCUAACAUCUAUGCGAGUGUUUGGGUGUCAAGCCCGGGCGCGCAAUGAAAGUGAACGGAGGUGGGAACCGCAAGGUGCACCAUCGACCGAUCCUGAAGUCUUCGGAUGGAUUUGAGUAAGAGCAUAGCUGUUGGGACCCGAAAGAUGGUGAACUAUGCUUGAAUAGGGUGAAGCCAGAGGAAACUCUGGUGGAGGCUCGCAGCGGUUCUGACGUGCAAAUCGAUCGUCAAAUUUGGGCAUAGGGGCGAAAGACUAAUCGAAC